ACUGUCUUGCUCAGGGGCCUGCACUCUCCCACAGUGACGAUGUUGCGAUCUGUACAUCCCUGAAACAGGGGGACAGGUGCACAGACAUGUUCUUGUGGUGCUUCUCAAAGCGAUUGUACUUCCGGAUGUAAUGGAGGGAUCUGAAGAGCACAC